AUUGAACGCUGGCGGCAUGCUUUACACAUGCAAGUCGAACGGCAGCGGGGGUGCUUGCACCUGCCGGCGAGUGGCGAACGGGUGAGUAAUGCAUCGGAACGUGCCCAGUCAUGGGGGAUAACUACGCGAAAGCGUAGCUAAUACCGCAUACGCCCUGAGGGGGAAAGUGGGGGAUCUUAGGACCUCACGUGAUUGGAGCGGCCGAUGUCAGAUUAGCUAGUUGGUGAGGUAAAGGCUCACCAAGGCGACGAUCUGUAGCGGGUCUGAGAGGAUGAUCCGCCACACUGGGACUGAGACACGGCCCAGACUCCUACGGGAGGCAGCAGUGGGGAAUUUUGGACAAUGGGCGCAAGCCUGAUCCAGCCAUGCCGCGUGAGUGAAGAAGGCCUUCGGGUUGUAAAGCUCUUUCGCGAGGGAAGAAAACGUACGGGCCAAUACCCUGUGCGGAUGACGGUA
rnacentral:rRNA from 1 species